AGUCGUAACAAGGUUUCCGUAGGUGAACCUGCGGAAGGAUCAUUAAAAAAUUGGACUCUACGAGAGUCUAUUAAUAAUCCUCACCCUUUGUGAAUUUGUUUGUUUGAAAUAAUUUUUUAAAAAUUAUUGAAUGUCUCUCCCUAGGCUUGUCUUGCUUGUUUGAGACGCCUAGGGGAAUGGCAAACAAUAAUAUUUAAAGACCUUUUUUUAAUUAAACUUUUGUAUUCAUUUGUCUAAAAUUAUUUUUAUAAUAUAAAAACAACUUUUGACAAUGGAUCUCUUGGUUCUCGCAACGAUGAAGAACGCAGCAAAAUGCGAUAAGUAGUGUGAAUUGCAGAAUACGUGAAUCAUCAAAUCUUCGAACGCAUAUUGCACUUUUUUAGUUUACUAAAAAGUAUGUCUGUUUGAGUAUCAGUAAAAUAUUCUCAUAAAAAACAUUGUUUUUUUAUGGUUAUGAGUGUUUUACAACGAUAACAAGUUGUUUCACUUUAAAUUCUUUGUUCAUCAAAAAAAUCAUUAAAACUAAUUUUAAAGAUUUUUUUAAAAUUGGAUAAAAUUUUCCCGUAAAAAGGAAUAACCUAAACAAUUUUAAAAAAUAUUAAAAUUAGUGAUUUUUUCUGAUAUAAAAAGGAAAAAGUUAAAUUAACUUGAUCUCAAAUCAGAUAAGAGUACCCGCUGACUUAAGCAUAUCAAUAAGCGGAGGAAAAGAAACUAACUAGGAUUCCCUCGGUAACGGCGAGUGAAGCGGGAAGAGCUCAAAUUUGAAAUCUUCAAGGUUCUACCUUGACGAAUUGUAGUUUAAAGAAGUGUUUUCUGUUGGAAUUUUGGUAAAAGUUCUUUGGAAUAGACAUCAUAGAGGGUGAGAAUCCCGUAUUUGACCAUUAUUUCCAGCUUUGUGAUACACUUUCAAAGAGUCGGAUUGUUUGGGAAUGCAGUCCAAAAUAGGUGGUAAAUUUCAUCUAAAGCUAAAUAUUGGCGAGAGACCGAUAGCGAACAAGUACCGUGAGGGAAAGAUGAAAAGAACUUUGAAAAGAGAGUUAAACAGUACGUGAAAUUGUCAAAAGGGAAGCGUUUGACACCAGUGUUGUUUUCUCGAAAAUCAAUUAAAAAGAUUGGAUUUUGUGUUGUAUCGACUUUAUCAGCUUUCUGCACUCUUUUCUUGUCUUUUUUAAUGCACUUUUCGUUUAACAAGUCAACAUCAAUUUCUUUUGUUGUAAAAGAGUCAUUGGAAGGUGGCUUCCUUUCGGAGAAAGUGUUUAUAGCCUUUGGCUUCUGCAAUCGGAGAGAUUGAGGUCUGCAGCGUAGAUCCUCGGGGUUAGAUACAUUUGUGCUAAGUUAUAACUUUUUAUAGACAACUUGUUGACUAUAAUUAGUCAUGUAGCUUACUCGCUUAUGCUAUCUUACCUACGCUUAGGAUGUUGAG
rnacentral:misc_RNA from 1 species